rnacentral:lncRNA from 1 species
UCAAGAGGAAGUCACACCAUGGUACAACUUCCAAUCACCAAAUAUUUAAGAUCUAGCCACUGUAAGUUAGCUAAAGAUGUUAAAAACUGCUGCAGAAAAUCCAUUCCUGCAGUUUUGCUUCAAUACUACUGAAUGUUUGCUGAAAAUUUUCUGAGACGGCUGAAAAUUUUAGGAGCUUCCGUUUGAACUUUGCUGUACUUCUGUAUAUCUGUUCAAACAAGAAAAAUGGGAGGCCCACAAGGAAGUUUCCACAGGAAUAUAUUCAUGCUGGGAUGAUACCCCAUGGCUAUACUGUAGAAUAAAUGAGUAUACUUGUGACCUCUCGAAAUAAGCGGUUACCUACAUGAAGUAUUUGAUGCUUAAGAUCCUGGAUAAAGCAUGUUCCAAACUCUCCAAAGAUGAAGGGGAAAGAAAUUCUGCUUGAACAAAAAAUUUCCCAUUUACUCUCUUGAAGAUCUUGAUAACGUUAAACAAUUCCAAGAAUACCCUUUAUGUGACUAUCAUGAUGCUUGUCCCUCUUUACUAAAUACCCUCUAGGGUCUAGGCAUUAUCAUAAUCAACAAAUAUUAUUGAGUACCCAAACACUCUUCAAGGGUAUAAUUAGCUUGUACCUCGUUUUACCUUUCAUAAUUGUUUCUUUUCCCUCUUUAGAGAAAUUUACAAUAAAUAUCAUGCCUUGUGCACUUCAUUUUUGUUCAAAUUCUUGAACCCA